UACGUAGGGGGCAAGCGUUAUCCGGAUUUACUGGGUGUAAAGGGAGCGUAGACGGUGAUGCAAGUCAGAAGUGAAAGCCCGGGGCUCAACUGCGGAACGGCUUUGGAAACUGAGGGACUAGAGUGCUGGAGAGGCAGACGGAAUUCCUAGUGUAGCGGUGAAAUGCGUAGAUAUUAGGAGGAACACCAGUGGCGAAGGCGGUCUGCUGGACAGCAACUGACGGUGAGGCGCGAAAGCGUGGGGAGCAAACAGG
rnacentral:rRNA from 1 species